CUUCUAAAUUCUAAUCCAUCUUUGUCUUGUCUUUGCUUUUAACUUUUUUCCCCUUCUGUCAAUGACUCAAAAACUCCUUUCGCUCCUUCGCUAAUCUACAAGUCAAAACCUCCGCGACCUCAUGGAUUCCCUUCAAGCCACCUACAGAGAGGAAGAGGAAGAGGAAGAACAAAAGCAACCCAACAACAGCAUCACCAACCACAGUCCUCCCACCCCUCCUCCUCCUCCUCCUCCCACCACCACCACCACCAGUAGCAGCAGUCCGAUUGAACUCGAAGAACACCAAAACGGCACAGCCCCACAUCAAGGCGACACUGAAAUAACUCCAAUUAACAACACGAAAGCCAACCAACAACCUCAACAAGAGGACGCCUUUGUAUCAGCCUCUGAAUCUCUCUCCGAAUCAGACCACCCGACAACCUCAAACGACACCGAGAAACCCACACCCAAAUCUCCCAAAAUUGAAGACACUGAAAUUGAAGACGAUGAAGAUGAAGAAGACCCACCUCCUAAAAAACAGAAACAACUCUCCUCUUUAACACAGAAACAAGAGCCACCCGAACCAGCGACAACUGCAGAAAUCGAAAACGACAAUGGAGCCAGCGAGUUCAAGAAACCAACCAAAAUCACCCCAACAACAACAAAAAAAAAGAAGUCGAAGAAAAAGAACAACAAUAAUGUCUGGGUUACAAGAUCCACACGCAAAGGCAAGAAAAAAACAAAACCAAACCCGCAAAACACUCCAUCAGAAGACACUGUCUUAAUCACUCCAGCCCCAAGAUUCCCUGACAAAAGCGACGACUCCCCAGACUUAAAAAUCUGCUUAUCUAAAGUAUAUAAAGCAGAGAAAGUCGAAUUGAGCGAAGAUAGAUUGAGUGCAGGGAGCGCCAAGGGGUAUAGAAUGGUGAGAGCUACAAGAGGUGUAUGUGAAGGAGCUUGGUAUUUUGAAAUUAAAGUGGUUGCUUUAGGAGAAACCGGACACACACGACUUGGGUGGUCUACGGAGAAAGGGGACUUACAGGCACCAGUUGGAUAUGAUGGAAAUAGUUUUGGGUAUAGAGAUAUUGAUGGGAGUAAAGUGCAUAAGGCAUUGAGGGAGAAAUAUGGCGAGGAAGGGUAUAAAGAGGGGGAUGUUAUAGGGUUUUAUAUUAAUUUGCCGGAGGGGGGGUUGUAUACUCCUAAACCUGCUCAUUUGGUUUGGUAUAAAGGGCAGAGGUAUGUUUGUGCUCCUGAUGCUAAGGAAGAUCCUCCCAAGAUUGUUCCUGGAAGUGAGAUAUCUUUCUUCAGAAAUGGAGUAUGUCAAGGUGUUGCGUUUAAGGAUUUAUUUGGUGGCUGUUACUACCCCGCUGCUUCAAUGUACACUCUCCCUAAUCAGCCAAAUUGUGUGGUCAAGUUUAACUUUGGCCCUGAUUUUGAAUUCUUUCCAGAGGAUUUUGGAGGACGCCAAGUUCCCAAGCCUAUCAUUGAUGUUCCUUACCAUGGGUUUGACAACCGUGCUGAAAAUGGUGUGAACGAUGAGAAGAAACAUUAGCAAGUAACCUUUUUACCGUCAGCAGAGUUGGGAGGCGAGCACCAGACUGAAUUAGAAUCUGUGGAUGCGUUCUUAAAUUUGCCAUAUAAGUUCAACGUUAGGGCAUGUGCGCUCAUAUUCUGGUUUGGUUUCACUUGCAGCACUACAAGUUAAGUCCAGCAUUUGAUUGUCAUCACUCAAUUGUGCAUUUGCUUGAAAGAUUUUCAGGCACACUUGGGCUUUAACAAAAGUGGUAUUUUAGAGUGGCACGAUCAUCACGAAAUUUUGAUUAAGAUGAGCUAAACAUCGGCUCUCUUAUUUUGGAUACAGUUUGGACCGCAUACUGGAAAUUAGGCUCAUGAGUACAGCCGGCAACCUUCUCUUGAGAAUCCAAACUUAACCUUGCAUGUGGGCACAUUCAACAAGGGAAAUGCUUAGCAGGCCAUUCCCAAAAUCCAAAUUAUGGUGCUUUCAGAUGUCGAUGCGCAUUGCUUCUUCAGAUUGCAGAGAAAUUAACUAAGAAACCUUAUACCAACAAAAAGGUUACUUAACCUUACCAUGGACUCUUCCUGUAUACCUUGAGCUUGAGCACUUCAAACUUCUUGUCUGCUUGAGGGGCAGGGCUAGUGUGCAGCGCGGCCAUAUGUGUGAAAAGUGUCUACUAGUAAGGAAUUGGAGAGCUGAGACCCUCUUGAGAAGACAAAGAAUGAGCAGGUUGGUGUCUUUUUGAAGGGAAGGGUGAAUAAGAAGUCUUCCUGAAAGAUGGCCUCUUCUUCAGAUGCUUUAGAGUCCUCUUGGAAUGAAGCUCCCGAAGCAUGGGUAGAGUUCUCUCCUUGAACUUGAGAAUGGCAAAGAAGAGAAGUCUGAAAGCAAUGAGAAUGAUCAGGACAGCAGACAGGUCCCACCAUUUUGAAUGAUCAAGACUAAUACCAAGCACGGUUGUGAGAACUUCUUCUCCUUUCAGUUUUGGACCGCCAGAAAUGAUGACAGCAAAAACUAAACUGCCAUAGCAUACUUGCACAUACUCUGUGAGAUCCCAUUAGGGUUGCAGUGACAAGGUCGAAGUCUGAAUUAAUACAACGUAAGAAAUGAUCAGAAGGGUUUCUUCUACUUGGACAUGGGAAUCCAGCUUCAGCAAAGAACUGCAAAAUCAGCAUUCCAGCAAGAAAAGUGAGAAAACAUGUUGAAUUCUACUUGCAAUGUGCCCAAGGAAAAUCCAAUAUUGGUUAUACACUUGUACCUCUACCGCCAUCUUUGCCUCUCCAAAAUAAACUGUUUCGCCACCAGAUAAUAAGAAAAGGUCAUCAAAGAGUGCGAAAACUUCGCUACUUGGCUGGUGAACAGAAGAUAUGACGGUUCUUCCAUCGCGAGCAAUAUUUCUAAGAGUUUGAAUUACAAAGAAAGCUGCAGCACUGUCCAGGCCACUUGUAGGUUCAUCAAGAAACAAAAGUUGUGGCCUUAUAAGGAUUUCAAGUGCAAUACUUAGUCUUUUCUUCUCCCCACCACUUAUACCUCUUAAAUGCCAGUUUCCAAUCAGCCGAUCACUGCACUCUUGGAGACCCAUUUCCAUGAUUGUCCCCUCUACAAUGUCAUCUAUCUCUUCUUUAGCCAUGCUGCUUGGAAGUCUCAAAUGAGCCGAGUAAUUCAGGGUCUCUCUAACUGUGAGAGUGCCCAACAAUGUGUUUUCUUGUGUUACAUAAGCCUGAUUAAUGAUACAGCAUUAGAAGAGAAAUAUGUGUAUUUUCUUCAAAUUUUCAUUUGGGAGAACUAGGAUAUAUAUCAUUUUUCAUUAAUUUAUUUUUAUGAACACAAGAAACUAGAAUCUUACAACACCACCAUAGUCCAGUCUCCUCUUCUUCCCGUUGAGUAGAACAUUCCCAGUCAUCACAGCAUUCCCUGCUAGUCUUCCUGCACAAAUUCCAUAGAUUGCAGGAACAGACAGUCAGUACAAUUAGUAUUAAGUGACAUACAAGUCAAUAAUAUUUCCCUCAUAUUCACUAGCUAUAUAACUCAAAUCUAUUGAAUAUGAUUGAGCUGCAAAUAAUAGGUUGGAAGUUGGAACUCUCUCGCUAUAGAAGCUCCUCGUGAUCACAAAAUACAGAGGUAGUGAGUGUUCUCAUGGAGAACGAGCAUGGGAUAGGGUCGGCUGGAUUCACACAUGGGAUAUUGGUCCAGAGGCAGUCUUCAUUAUGCUGUCAUCAUAAAUUAAGAUAUACAGCAAUUGAUGGGGUUGGAUAGAUCAUUGAACGUGAUGGCAAAUUGGUGGCAUGAUGAUCUAGCUCAUUGUCCAACCCAAGGUAACCAGUUAAAGAAAAGAAAAGUAAGAUCAUGUUUUGUGACUUCUGCAAUUAAGAGAAAUUUUGUUUAGCGGAAUCGUGUUUUCUUCGUUACCUUUUCAUUGAUAAUAUAAUUCAUAUAUAUUA